rnacentral:lncRNA from 1 species
CAAAAGGACAGCUUCAUCUCUGAGCUGCAAUUGAAUACUCUUGCCAUGACGCAAAGCAGAGCUGACAUGAAACAGUUUCUACAGUUUUGCCCCCUCUCUAAAGCUGACAGACAUAUUGACAAACAAGCAGACAGUGCAACGUUACGUACUUUUUACCCUUUGAAAAACAGGAUAAAAUUAUAUAUAAAACCUCUCAAAGUUAAUUUAUAGAUUUCUGUUGCAAACAAUGCUGACAAAGUUAUGAAAUAGCUUAUAAAUAUGAAAUAUGUUAUAAAUAUAAAAGGUGAAACUCUAACUUAUGCCAAUAAAUCUCUUCAAG